rnacentral:sRNA from 1 species
GAAAAAACAAAAGGCAGUGAGUUCUCUCAGCCAAUUUCUCAGCCAAUUACAGGUCGACCUUCUCGUCUACCCCGCUCACUGCUGCGCUUGACUGGUCUUUG